CAUUUGACGGGAUGUGAAACGUUAUGUCACGAGCCCACGCUAUCUGUACAUGGCUUACUUUUGCAUAUAUGGAAUUUAUAUAGCUAACUUGGCAAUAACCUUACAUAGAUUAGUCUAGAAAUCCUAGAAGGGAUGUUAUUAAACUGUAAGUCAGUUAACCAACGUUAGCUUGCCAAGUUAGCCAAGUUGCAUUUCCAGAGUGUAGUUGUUCAAGUUGGUACUGUUCAAGUAUGAAAAUUGUGACGUGAAAAUAUAAAUAAAUUUGCCAUAUUUGAAAUCAUUUCAGUAGUUUCAUGAGUGAAUGUCUAUUUCUAAAAUGAUACAAAUCAAGUUUUUAAUGUCCCGUAUCUACAGCAAUACCCUAUCAUAAUAACAGAUUCAUUCUAGUACAGGAGAGACUUUUCAAUAAUUAAAAAGCAGAGGUGUGUAUAUAUCGGUAUCGGCAUCGGCAAUCGGCCAAAAUGAGCUUGUAAAUAUCGGCAUAUCGGAUAUCGGCUAGAAUUCAAUAUCGUGCAUCCCUACUUUGACAUAUGACAAUAGACAUAUGGAAAUGCACUGAGUAGAUCAAAUUCGUUUUUUUUUUUUUUUUUAAGUAAGCAUAGAAUGCACAGGAAUCUUUCAGCUGAGAUUUGAUCCCUGGCCGAAGGAAUAUAAAUCCUUUUUUUCACCAAUAUAGUUUUAAUUAGAAACGGUCCGAUUCUCUGAUUUAAUUGUGUAAUAAUCAGUCUAAUUUGACAGUGAAUCCCUAGCUCCGUCUGUGGUUUAAUAUGUUAUGGAAACACUUGCCCAUGCUUGUAUCACUACUCCUCUGGAUUACUGUAAGUGUAAAUAAGAGAAAUACUAACAGAGAAGUUUGUAUUGUGGAUGAAGGCUGAAACAGCACAGUUCGUCGAGGUCACAUGACCAUUUUUUUCAGACAGUUCUGCAUUGGUGGUUCAGUGGUAGAAUUCUCGCCUGCCACGCGGGAGGCCCGGGUUCGAUUCCCGGCCAAUGCAAUCUAGAUCUUUUAUCUAGAUUAUUAUCUAGUUUUAUGGUAAGCAAGCUGAAGAUUAGUGCAGUUGUCGUGUACUGAUCACUUUGACAUAUAUGACAAUAGACAUAUGGAAAUGCACAGAGUAGAUCAAAUUCUUUUUUUUUUUUUUUUUUAAGUAAGCAUAGAAUGCACAGGAAUCUUUCAGCUGAGAUUUGAUUCUUGGCCGAAGGAAUGUAAAUCCUUUUUUUCACCAAUAUAGUUUUAAUUAGAAGCGGUCUGAUUCUCUGAUUUAAUUGUGUAAUAAUCAAUCUAAUUUGACAGUGAAUCUCCGUCUGUGGUUCAAUAUGUUAUGGAAACACUUGCCCAUGCUUGUAUCGCUACUCCUCUGGAUUACUGUUGGAGCCAGAAUGGGUUUUGUUUAUUGUUAUUAUUUAUAGUUAUGAAAUAUUAGGAUAAGUGUUUUGCAUUUAUCAUAAUUUAAUUAAAUAAUAUUUUGUUGGUAUUUGGAUUUGCUUUGUGUACUGUUGAACAACCUGGAGGUGCGAAAUUGCGUUGGCCACGGCCCACUUCGUCAGGUGACUGCAGCACCUGACCUCGUGAAGGCAAUUAAAGCAGUCUGGACGCGUCACUCCAGAUACAAGUUGGCAGGCAUGCAAGCCAAAAGGUUUUUUGACCGCAGAAAGCACAACAAAUUGGAAAUAUGGAAAUCGUUGAACCUCUGCUGUUUCACACCUCCAGGUUGUACAAUCAUCUCAAUACAGGUACAUAAUUCUUCAUCUUUAUUUUUUUGCAAUAAAUCAACUAUCAACUAAAACCCAUCAACUUACCGAACAGUGCUUGAAGCGCGUCAACCUAAGGCUGGAGUAGGAACUGGGUUUUACACUAACAGAGAAGUUUGUAUUGUGGAUGAAGGCUGAAACAGCACAGUUCGUCAAGGUCACAUGACCAUUUUAGUCAGACAGUUCUGCAUUGGUGGUUCAGUGGUAGAAUUCUCGCCUGCCACGCGGGAGGCCCGGGUUCGAUUCCCGGCCAAUGCAAUCCAAAUCUUUUAUCUAGAUUAUUAUCUAGUUUUAUGGUAAGCAAGCUGAAGAUUAGUGCAGUUGUCGUGUACUGAUCACUUUGACAUAUGACAAUAGACAUAUGGAAAUGCACAGAGUAGAUCAAAUUCUUUUUUUUUUUUUUUUAAGUAAGCAUAGAAUGCACAGGAAUCUUUCAGCUGAGAUUUGAUUCUUGGCCGAAGGAAUGUAAAUCCUUUUUUUCACCAAUAUAGUUUUAAUUAGAAGCGGUCUGAUUUAAUUGUGUAAUAAUCAAUCUAAUUUGACAGUGAAUCUCCGUCUGUGGUUCAGUAUGUUAUGGAAACACUUGAUUUAUUCCACACUCGAUUACAAUUACUUCAACUCCGGUUUCUUCUGUUGACCAGGCAUUCACGUUGGCCGUCAGUUGCACCUGGACAAGAUACAUUUCAAGUGGCCCCCUCUCCACCGAAGCUUUGUGGUUGUUCGCAUCGGUGUCUCCUUCGUCCUGGUGUUGGUGCCUUGCGGAGCGGGGACUGGCUCUAAAGUUCUCCUGGUGGUGGCCUCUCCUUGCCGGCAGACAGGCGUCUCCGGGUCCUGGGGCGGCUCCAGUGCAGCAGCCAUCCCACCGUCUUCUCACUGCGCCGACCACUGGGUGCCCACUCCAUCCACUGCUGCUGACUGUCACUCCUGGGCUAGGGGUGUGGAGAAGUGUCAUAGCAGGUGCCUUGGAGUGAUGCUUUUUAGAUGCUCCCCCAGCUCCAGCUAUUUUGGCCGCCCUCCCCAUACCUGAGCGUGGUCAUCUUUACAGCAACCGACACCAUGUAGCGAUCUCACAGAGUCAGCUUCCUCUUUUGGUGUUCUUUGUCAUUUAUUUAGCAUAGGCAAUUCAACACUGAUACUGACACCAGGAUGGCAUAGCAUUUAUAGGUGGGCACAACAACAGAGGGCAAGGGUGGCAGAGAUCACACAUGAGGGAAAAUGGCAUCAGGUUAUCAUAACAUUCACUGACUCUAAUCAUUAACAAAAUGACAGAUAAACUAAAACUAAAGAGAGUAAGCCACAUUUGAAAUGAAAACACUACACAUGAAUUAAACAAUUAAAUGCACUCAUCCACUCACUUGCACAGCAUUCUGCCACACACACUUCAAUCCGCACUUACCCGGAACAACAGACAAACACGGGCUCGCUACAUGUUAUGCUAUGUGUUUGUAUUCGCAUGAGGGGGGGAGAGUGAAAUCGGGUCUUGCAUGAAGGGUUACUUAUUUUGUUUUUAUACAGCAAUAAUGAUUUGUUUAAUUAUGUUUGCUUCACUGCUAUGUUGUGCACACAAAGUACACUUGAUUUGAAUGCUGUUGUUGCUUCUGAGACUUCUGUUUUUGGACUCAGUAACUGUUCAUACAUUUAACUUUAUUGUAAGCUGUGUAUAUAGUCUUAU
ensembl:lncRNA